AUUGAACGCUGGCGGCAUGCCUUACACAUGCAAGUCGAACGGUAACGUGGGGCAACCUGGCGACGAGUGGCGAACGGGUGAGUAAUGUAUCGGAACGUGCCCAGUUGUGGGGGAUAACUGCUCGAAAGAGCAGCUAAUACCGCAUACGACCUGAGGGUGAAAGCGGGGGAUCGCAAGACCUCGCGCAAUUGGAGCGGCCGAUAUCAGAUUAGGUAGUUGGUGAGGUAAAGGCUCACCAAGCCGACGAUCUGUAGCUGGUCUGAGAGGACGACCAGCCACACUGGGACUGAGACACGGCCCAGACUCCUACGGGAGGCAGCAGUGGGGAAUUUUGGACAAUGGACGCAAGUCUGAUCCAGCCAUGCCGCGUGCGGGAAGAAGGCCUUCGGGUUGUAAACCGCUUUUGUCAGGGAAGAAACGCUCUGGGUUAAUACCUCGGGGUAAUGACGGUACCUGAAGAAUAAGCACCGGCUAACUACGUGCCAGCAGCCGCAGUAACAC
rnacentral:rRNA from 1 species